rnacentral:rRNA from 1 species
UGCAGUCGAGCGGCAGCACGGGUACUUGUACCUGGUGGCGAGCGGCGGACGGGUGAGUAAUGCCUAGGAAUCUGCCUAGUAGUGGGGGAUAACGUCCGGAAACGGGCGCUAAUACCGCAUACGUCCUACGGGAGAAAGUGGGGGAUCUUCGGACCUCACGCUAUUAGAUGAGCCUAGGUCGGAUUAGCUAGUUGGUGAGGUAAUGGCUCACCAAGGCUACGAUCCGUAACUGGUCUGAGAGGAUGAUCAGUCACACUGGAACUGAGACACGGUCCAGACUCCUACGGGAGGCAGCAGUGGGGAAUAUUGGACAAUGGGCGAAAGCCUGAUCCAGCCAUGCCGCGUGUGUGAAGAAGGUCUUCGGAUUGUAAAGCACUUUAAGUUGGGAGGAAGGGCAGUUACCUAAUACGUGAUUGUUUUGACGUUACCGACAGAAUAAGCACCGGCUAACUCUGUGCCAGCAGCCGCGGUAAUACAGAGGGUGCAAGCGUUAAUCGGAAUUACUGGGCGUAAAGCGCGCGUAGGUGGUUUGUUAAGUUGAAUGUGAAAGCCCCGGGCUCAACCUGGGAACUGCAUCCAAAACUGGCAAGCUAGAGUAUGGUAGAGGGUGGUGGAAUUUCCUGUGUAGCGGUGAAAUGCGUAGAUAUAGGAAGGAACACCAGUGGCGAAGGCGACCACCUGGACUGAUACUGACACUGAGUGCGAAAGCGUGGGGGAGCAAACAGGAUUAGAUACCCUGGUAGUCCACGC